GGAGUUGGGCACAGCUCGGUGGUAGAGCGCAUACUUAGCAUGCAUGAGGACCUGGGUUCAAUCCCCAGUAAUUCCA
rfam:Camelus ferus unplaced genomic scaffold scaffold1299, whole genome shotgun sequence.